GACGAACGCUGGCGGCGUGCUUAACACAUGCAAGUCGAGCGGUGAAGGGAUCAGCUUGCUGGUUCUGGAUGAGUGGCGAACGGGUGAGUAACACGUGAGUAACCUGCCCCCUUCUUCUGGAUAACCGCAUGAAAGUGUGGCUAAUACGGGAUAUUCUGGGUCUGUCGCAUGAUGGGUCUGGGAAAGAUAUUGUUUCGGUGGGGGAUGGGCUCGCGGCCUAUCAGCUUGUUGGUGGGGUGAUGGCCUACCAAGGCGGUGACGGGUAGCCGGCCUGAGAGGGUGGACGGUCACACUGGGACUGAGACACGGCCCAGACUCCUACGGGAGGCAGCAGUGGGGAAGAUUGCACAAUGGGCGCAAGCCUGGUGCAGCGACGCCGCGUGAGGGAUGGAGGCCUUCGGGUUGUAAACCUCUUUCGCCAGUGAAGCAGGCCUGCUCCUUGUGGGUGGGUUGACGGUAGCUGGAUAAGAAGCGCCGGCUAACUACGUG
rnacentral:rRNA from 1 species